ensembl:lncRNA
CAGGGCCGCCUGGCCUGGGCCCGAGGCUCCAGCUCACCACUGCUGGCCCGUCUUCCACCGCUCCUCUCCCCACGCCCCACCUAACUGCACGCUCUCUCCAUCUCCCCGGCCGGCCCCCUCCUUGCUCCUUCCCGUCAGCCUCUGCCUGCCCAGACGUCAUCUGCAGAGUGUGUGCCCAGUGGCUCAGUCGUGUCCGGCUCUCUGUGACCCCAUGGACUGUAACCCUCCAGGCUCCUCUGUCCAUGGAAUUCUCCAGGCAAGAGUACUGGAGUGGGCAGCCGUUCCCUUCUCCAGGGGCUCUUCCCGACCCAGGGAUCGAACCCGCGUCUCUUAUAUCGCCGGCAUCGGCAGGCCCCUGGCACCCUUGCACCUGACAGACCUUCUAGCCCCUGCCACCCUCCGUCUGUCUGGGGAACACCUGGAUGCCGACAGACUCCUCCC